rnacentral:rRNA from 1 species
UACGAAGGGGGCUAGCGUUGCUCGGAAUCACUGGGCGUAAAGCGCACGUAGGCGGAUUGUUAAGUCAGGGGUGAAAUCCUGGAGCUCAACUCCAGAACUGCCUUUGAUACUGGCGAUCUUGAGUCCGGGAGAGGUGAGUGGAACUGCGAGUGUAGAGGUGAAAUUCGUAGAUAUUCGCAAGAACACCAGUGGCGAAGGCGGCUCACUGGCCCGGUACUGACGCUGAGGUGCGAAAGCGUGGGGAGCAGA